rnacentral:rRNA from 1 species
GGAAAAUCGGGGCAAGUGUGCGGGGUGAGUCGGAGGUGACAGGCGGUAGCCGGAAUGAAUGGGCGGAAAGCGCGCGUAUGCGGUUUCUUAAGUCUGAUGUGAAAGCGCACGGCUCAACCGUGGAGGGUCAUUGGAAACUGGGGAACUUGAGUGCAGAAGAGGAGAGUGGAAUUCCAUGUGUAGCGGUGAAAUGCGCAGAGAUAUGGAGGAACACCAGUGGCGAAGGCGGCUCUCUGGUCUGUAACUGACGCUGAUGUGCGAAAGCGUGGGGAUCAAACAGGAUUAGAUACCCUAGUAGUC